UACGAAGGGGACUAGCGUUGUUCGGAAUUAUUGGGCGUAAAGCGCACGUAGGCGGAUUUGUAAGUCAGGGGUGAAAUCCCGGGGCUCAACCUCGGAACUGCCUUUGAUACUGCAAAUCUCGAGUCCGGAAGAGGUGAGUGGAAUUCCUAGUGUAGAGGUGAAAUUCGUAGAUAUUAGGAAGAACACCAGUGGCGAAGGCGGCUCACUGGUCCGGUACUGACGCUGAGGUGCGAAAGCGUGGGGAGCAAACAGG
rnacentral:rRNA from 1 species